rnacentral:lncRNA from 1 species
ACACUUCAUUUCUACUGCUCUUUACUACCUCCGUCCCAUAAUAAUAUCAUUUUUCGUUUUUCCGUGUCCAACAUUUUAACCAUUCGUCUUAUUUGAAAAAAUUAUAUAAAAACUUAAAAAAGAUUAGUCACGCAUAAAGUACUAUUCAUGUUUUAUCAUCUGGUAAGAAUAAAAAUAUUAAUCGCAAAAAAUUUUUAAAUAAGAUGAAGAGUCAAAACAUUGUAUUGAAAAACUAAAAAAUAAUCUUAUUUCAGGACAGAGGUAGUAUCUAUUUGGAGAGAAAAUGGUUUUAGUGCUAUAAAAUGUUCCAUGCUGUUUUGGAGACAUUUAAGGCUAUGUUCGGCAGAUGGCUUAUUAGUCAGCGCACAUGAUUAGUUAAUUAAUAAAUAUAAAAAAAUAGAAAAAUAGAUUAAUUCGUAUUAUUAAAACAACUUUCCUAUAGAAAAUUUUUAAAAAAAUGCACCGUUUUGUAGUUAGGAUACGUGAGCGUGAUAAACGAGAGAAUCUAAUAAGAGGGGGGCAAACAAUCAGGGCCUAGGGCCUAUUCGUGUUGGAGAAAAAAAAUAAUAAAUGAUGGGAUUCUUUAAAAAGGCAUUUGGUCUGUAGAAAUGAAGUAUAAGAAAACUAAAGUAAAAAAUUUCCAUUCCUAUGAGGUGUAGAGUGAAAACAUAGGAGUAUUUUGAUCCACUAAAAGCUCUUGGAAAUAUUUUUAUUUAUUAAUGUGGGC